CAGUAGCCGCGGUAAUACGAAGGGGGCUAGCGUUGCUCGGAAUGACUGGGCGUAAAGGGCGCGUAGGCGGUUUGGCAAGUCUUGUGUGAAAUCUAUGGGCUCAACCCAUAGUCUGCACGGGAAACUGUCGGGCUUGAGAAUGGGAGAGGUGAGUGGAAUUUCCGGUGUAGCGGUGAAAUGCGUAGAUAUCGGAAGGAACACCUGUGGCGAAAGCGGCUCACUGGACCAUUUCUGACGCUGAUGCACGAAAGCUAGGGGAGCAAACAGGAUUAGAUACCCCUGUAGUCCCUGUCUCUUAUAC
rnacentral:rRNA from 1 species